UGGUACUCUAGUGGGCAAUAGGUUAAAGCUAUUACUUUUGAGCUUUCUUCAAAGAACUCUCUGAGGUUAACAUUAUCUGCCUCUGCACUCUGCAGAAGCAUUAUGGCACACUCCUCCCAUUUUACAGACAGGUUUUCACAGACCAUCUAUUCCUUGGCAUUAUGCUUAUUUCCAUGGAGCGGCCUGUUUGGUUAUUGACGAUUGGCCUGAAAGAUAAGCGUUGGAAGGCCUGAAGGGUCACAUCCAUAAUCCUGGACCCAGGAGACCGAGAGAAAGGAGGUUCUUUGAGCUUGAAGCCAGUCAUGGCUACAUGAUGAGUUCCAGGCCAACGUAGGCUAUAGAGUGAGAUUCUGUCUCGAAAAUCAAAACAAAACAAAAAUAACCAAAUGAAUAGUGAAGUUUGUGAGAACAUGCCUUUGCCUACUUUGCUGUUUGCUAUCCCUGCCCCAAACCUAGAAAAUAAAUGGCAUUAUGUUUUCUUGAUAAAUAAUUGUAAAAAAAAAAAAAAGGUUGUGCAGUGUCUUAAUUAGGGUUUUACUGCUGUGAACAGACACCAUGACCAAGGCAACUCUUAUAAGGACAACAUUUAACUGGGGCCGGCUUACAGGUUCAAAGGUUCAAUCCAUUUUGAUCAAGAUGGGAACAUGGCAGCAUCCAGGCAGGCACGGUGCAGGAGGAGCUGAGAGUUCUACAUCUUCAUGUGAAAGCUGAUAGCAGAAUACUGGCUUCCAGGCAGCUAGGAUGAGGGUCUUAAAGCCCACACCCAUAGUGACACACCUACUCCAACAGGGCCAUACCUACUCCAACAGGGGCACACCUCCUAACAGUGCCACUCCCUGGGCCGAGCAUAUACAAACCACCACAUGUAGCAAGUCAGUGGUAGGGUGUUAAAUCACUUCCCAAGUCUUCUGAGUUCAGAUUUGACACACCUUUCGCCAUGCUAUCCUGCUUCUCUGUAAUCUGCAUCAGAAGUUAUGCUAUUCUGGAGUCUGAGGCAGGAGAACCACAAGUUCAAUCCCAGCUGGUGCUCAAGACACUCACUCAGAAUCACAAGGGAAGACAGGGAUGAGGAUAGAUCUCAGUGGUGGAGCCCUUGGCUACCACGCAUGAGGCUCUGGGCUCAAGUCUCAGGGCCAGCAAACGAAAAGAGAAGCCAGAUGCCUAGACCUUAGGAAAAUGAGGCUUCAGGGUUGCUCAAGCCUUCUGAUAUUUCCUUACUCAGCUCGGGUUUUUGCUGUCAUCACUAAGCUAAAUGUCAGGCUCCAGGGUGAGUUAAUGCUGAGGUUAGCGACUGCCACGUCACCCUCGUGUGUGGCUGUUUGGCCUCUUAGUCAGUGGGUGUGGAAGUGCACGGUGCGUGCCUCAGGAUGGUGUAAGCUGCCGACCCUUGUCCAUGCUACCUCCGUUAUCAGUGUGACCACAGGAGCAAUAGUUUGGCAAGAUUACACGUGACCUUCAAGACUGUGUAAAUGUGCGUUUCUACCUGGGAAGAGCUGGAAUUUAAGGCUCUGAUCAAAACACCCACAUCAGUACUGGGAGGAAGCCCUAUGGAAGGGCAGCAAGGAUCUCAGCCUCUUCUUGACUUUAUCUCUCGAGAGCUGAAUGUGAAGAUGCCCAGGAUUCAGUAAACCCAGUUAAGUACUCAGGAAUUUCCAUUUGGGAAGCAGUAGCAAUAACUCCCUGAGAAUCAUUUGCUUCUCAAGCCAAGAACAACCCAAAUAUAUCAUCAGGAAGUUGACCCUUAUAGGACGACAUACUAGCCAGAUACUAGCCUUGAAGCAGCUUCGAGGAAGGGUCUUGUUCUGACUGAGAAGGAACACAUGCUACCAUGCAAAUAACUCAGUUGUGCUCCUCCUGAGGACAGUGUGGGAGCCCGUGUGUAGGUGGUGCCCUUAGAUGGGUUCCCUAUCCCACCCCCAGGAACUAGCCUUCCGAGACCUGUGCCUGGUGCCAGAGUGUAGACCAAAUGGAGCCACUUGCUAAGCUGCUUAUGAACCGCAUCAGUCAGGUAGAGCAUAAACCCGGGACUUUGGCGUCCUGUGUCUAACAGAUCUGUGAUUAUGCAGAGGAAGUGUCCCCGUCCAUUCUUAUGCUCCUGUGCUAUUUCGUUAGUCAGGGAUGUAGCAUAAAGAUAUCUGUGGAGGAAGACCAGCAAAUAGAAUCAACCAACCAAAACCCUCGGAGGCUCCCAGAGACUGAACCAUCAACCAAAGAGCAAACUCAGGCUAGACCAACCCCUCCUGCCCCACUUAUACGUAGCAGACAUGCAGUUUGGUCUUCAUGCGGGUCCCCCAACAUGGACCAGGGUUGUCCCUGAAUCUGUUGCUUGCCUGUAGAUUCUAUUCCCCUAACAGGGCCGCUUUAUCUGGCACAGUGGAAGAGGAUGUGACUAGUCUUGCAGUGACUUGAUGUAUCAAGGCACCAUAGCAACCAUCUUUCAGGAUGCUGCUGAGCGUGGGCAACGUUGACGUGGCCACUGCAAGGCGUCAGACAGAACUAGUAUCUUCACACUUGACAAGGAGCCACACUGUCACUAACAGUGUUGUGUGGCCGCCCUGUGGGUCAGUGCUCCGGCACACAGGGCUCCCUGGAAAGCGAUGGAGAUGAAGGAGCUGGAGAACAUCUCUGUCCCGGCUAGCAGUGACAGAGAGGAGGACCGAAGACGGGGAAGAUUUUAUUGUCCUUUAGGUCACGAGAAAGAAUUGCAUUCCCGAAAGUCUGGGCUGACAGACUAAAUUUUUGUGUUCGUAGUACAUGUGUCUAAGUGCCUAGAACUUAGAGAGCAUGCUAAAAAUAUUGGCUGAGCUAAAGAUGUGGUUCUUUUCAACCUUCAGCUACACCCACCUAUUUUUCCAUUAGAGAUGCCUGACCAACAGUAUUUUUGAAAAUUCUACUUCUCAUCUAUCAAGUACCCCCUAGAUACCUACUCUCAUAGAAGUGGCGUUUUAAAAAUAAAUACUGUAGACAAAAAGAAAUGAUUUUGCUUUGUUUGUUUGUGUCUUUCUGGAGCCCAGCUGGCCUAGAAUUCAUAAUGGAAUUCACUAUUCCCUGCCUGGCCUUGAACUUGUGAC